CGCUGCUGCAAGUUAUUUCUGCUCCUCCGUCUGUGUUAUCGGAUGGAUGUGGAAAUGACGACCAUGUCCAACAAGAUGGAAAAACGAAUGGAUGGAUGGAUGGUUUUCAUGGAGGAUUGUGAUGACAAUACAAGGAGUCAUAACUCUCAAAUGUCUCAUCCUCCACAUGGGUUAAUCAGUGAAGGAUCUGAUCAGUCUCCGAUAAGGUGUCGGUAGAAGAGGUCAACCUACCCUUCAGACAACUGUGGAGAUAUUGAUACACAAGCGGUCAGAAGUCUUAUGUAUUGUAAUUGAGGGAUGAAAAUUGUGAGCAGUAACCAUCAGUUCAUACUUCAUACUUUUGCCAUGCUCCUGCUGCUCUUCUAUAUUGUCAAUAUGCAGUAUCUUGACCACUCAGAGGAAGACCCGUUGUGAGAGAUUGCGGGUAGAAGCGGCCGAAAUGGGUUAUCAGGAGGGUGUCUCCCUUAGAGAUAGGGUGAGAGGCUCAGCCAUCCAUGAGGAACUCUGAGAACAGCCACUGCUCCUUUGCAUAGAAAGGAGUCAGUUGAGGAGGUUUGGGCAUCUAGUAAGGAUGCCUAGGGCAGCGGUUGACGAUGGUGAUAAAUGUGUUUUUUGUAAUAAUAUUAACAUGCUGAUGUACUGUAAAUGUUUGAAAUAAACCAGGG
ensembl:lncRNA